UUGUAGCUGCGUGAGUGAUUGCAGCGGCAUCCUUUUUUUGAUGGUGGAAAAUGCGGCUGUGGAAAAAAGAUAUAGCGGAAAGCACGGCCCGCU
rnacentral:sRNA from 1 species